rnacentral:tRNA from 1 species
UAGCAUGAAGCAAUUAUGCAGUUAGUUUCGACCUAAAAUUAGAAUUAAAUUUCCUUGCUUU